GACGAACCGUGCGAACGUUAUUCGGAAUCACUGGGCUUAAAGCGCGUGUAGGCGGGUCGGCACGUCGGUCGCUGAAAUCCCCCGGCUCAACCGGGGAACGGGCCCCGAUACGACCGACCUGGAGGGGGGUAGGGGGAGCCGGGAACUUCCGGUGGAGCGGUGAAAUGCGUUGAGAUCGGAAGGAACGCCCGUGGCGAAAGCGGGCUCCUGGACCCCACCUGACGCUGAGACGCGAAAGCCAGGGGAGCGAACGGG
rnacentral:rRNA from 1 species